AUGCUUGCAUUGGAGGAAUGUAUACAAAAAUUGGCACAUUACAGAGACGAUUAGCAAGUCCCCUAGGCAGGGAUGACAUGCAAAUCUGUGAAGCAUUCCAUAUUUUU
rnacentral:snRNA from 1 species